GGGAGUUUAGCUCAGCUGGUUUAGAGCAUCUGCCUUACAAGCAGAGGGUCGGGGGUUCGAAUCCCUCAACUCCCAC
rnacentral:tRNA from 1 species